rnacentral:rRNA from 1 species
CCUACGGGAGGCAGCAGUGGGGAAUUUUGGACAAUGGGGGAAACCCUGAUCCAGCCAUUCCGCGUGAGUGAAGAAGGCCUUCGGGUUGUAAAGCUCUUUCGGCAGGAACGAAACGGCGGACUCUAACAUAGUCUGUCAAUGACGGUACCUGAAGAAGAAGCACCGGCUAACUACGUGCCAGCAGCCGCGGUAAUACGUAGGGUGCGAGCGUUAAUCGGAAUUACUGGGCGUAAAGCGUGCGCAGGCGGCUUGGUAAGACGGAGGUAAAAUCCCUGGGCUAAACCGGGGAACUGCGUUCGCGACGGAAAGGCUAGAGUGCGGCAGAGGGGGGUGGAAUUCCUGGUGUAGCAGUAAAAUGCGUAGAGAUCGGGAGGAACACCGAUGGCGAAGGCGGCCCCCGGGGUUGGCACUGACGCUGAGGCACGAAAGCGUGGGGAGCAAACAGGAUUAGAUCCCCCUGUAGU